rnacentral:rRNA from 1 species
UACGUAGGUGGCGAGCGUUGUCCGGAAUUACUGGGUGUAAAGCGCGUGUAGGCGGGAGGCCAAGUCUGCUGUGAAAUCGCCCCGGCUCAACUGGGCGGGGUCGGUGGAAACUGGUCACCUGGAGGACGGUAGAGGCGAGUGGAAUUCCCGGUGUAGUGGUGAAAUGCGUAGAGAUCGGGAGGAACACCAGUGGCGAAGGCGGCUCGCUGGGCCGGACCUGACGCUGAGACGCGAAGGCGUGGGGAGCGAACGGGAGU